AUGUCUUCAGGAAAUACAAAAAUUGGGUAUCCUGCUCCCAACUUCAAAGCUACAGCUGUUACACCAGAUGGAAAAUUCAAAGAUAUCAGCCUAAGCGAAUACAGAGGAAAAUAUGUUGUGUUCUUCUUCUACCCUCUUGACUUUACUUGUGUGUGUCCCAUGGAGAUUGUUGCUUUCAGUGAUAGAGCAGAAGAAUUUAAGAAACUCAACUGCCAAGUGAUUGGGGUUUCUGUGGAUUCUCACUUCUGUCAUCUGGCAUGGAUUACACACCCAAGAAACAAGGAGGAUUGAGACCCAUGAACAGGCCCUUGGUAUCAGAUCCCAAGCGCACCAUAUAGUUCAGGAUUAUGGAGUCUUAAAGGCUGAUGAAGGUAUCUCUUUCGGUGGCCUCUUUAUUAUUAAUGAUAAAGGUAUCCUUUGACAGAUCACUAUAAAUGAUCUUCCUGUUGACCGCUCUGUGGAUGAGAUUCUGAGACUAGUCCAGGCCUUCCAGUUCACUGACAAACAUGGUGAAGUGUGCCCAGCUGGCUGGAAACCUGGCAGUGGUACCAUCAAGCCUGACGUCAAUAAGAGCAAAGAGUAUUUCUCUAAGCCUAAGUGAGCACUGGGCCAUUUUUCUGCCAGGCAGCACUGAGCAGCCAGAAGAAAAUCUCUUGUACUCUUCUCAUGUUUAAACACAUGAUGUGGUGUGGUUCCAGAUAAGCCUUUCCUACAGGGCUGGGUGUGGUUAGCCUUUCUUCCACUAUUGGUAAUGGCCUGAGCUGUAUUUUGGGC